rnacentral:rRNA from 1 species
CGGACGGGUGAGUAACGCGUGGAAAACCUGCCGUAUACUGGGGGAUAACACUUAGAAAUAGGUGCUAAUACCGCAUAAGCGCACAGCUUCGCAUGAAGCGGUGUGAAAAACUCUGGUGGUAUACGAUGGUUCCGCGCCUGAUUAGCUAGUUGGUGGGGUAAUGGCCUACCAAGGCAACGAUCAGUAGCCGGCCUGAGAGGGUGAACGGCCACAUUGGGACUGAGACACGGCCCAAACUCCUACGGGAGGCAGCAG